AUGCCUAACCCUCAUGAGAGGCCUAAGUGGCUGCCCUCUCAGGAAUAUCCAAAGCACCUGUCAUCUUGGACCUGGUUACAGAGCCCCAUCAGCUUCCCCAAGCAAAUGUUCUCCUGGGAGUUGAAGUGGUCAAGAUAUUGCCAGCCUUUGUCCUCAUCCUCCUGUCUGAAACAAGGGCGGCCCUCCAGCCAGCCAUUGUCUAAAGAGCUUCAUGUAAAGGCACUUUCACUUACUCACCAACUCCCUUGGCUCAACCUCUGGAGAUUACAAAACCAAAUGGGUAAGAGGGUUGGCGUCAGUGUGUGUGUAUGUGUGUGUGUGCUGAGUCUCUCUCACCCGUUCCUCAGUGACAUGCAUGGGAAGGCAGUCAGGGCAUUGGAUGUUCUAGUAAAAUCUUCGUUUCUGAGGUAAAUGUUGAGGAUGCUUCCUUCACUGCCUGGUCUGAUGAUGAAUGGAGCAUGCGAUUAGCGCAGGGGAUGCAUACUUGAGGUUUGAUCAGCACGUAUAGGAAGGAGCCUGAUUUUUCAUUGGUAACAGUCAGAACUUUGCAUCAACAUGUUUGUUGUUAAUCAACAAAUAUUUGUUGAGUGCCUGCUCUUCAUCAG
rnacentral:lncRNA from 12 species